rnacentral:lncRNA from 1 species
GACUUACCACCAUGCUUAGGUAAUGACUCAAGGGCAGCAGCCAACUCAAUGAAUUCCUCACUAUAAGCCACGACAUGGAAUGGUUCAUGCAUGCCGUGGGUUAGCAUAUGGUUUGCAUCCAUGGUUUUGAGUUCCAUGCCUCUUAUAAUGAAUUUUUCAAGCACAUCGUCAUUCAAAUCUUCAAGAUAUCCUUGCGCCAAAGAGUCAAUUAUAUCAAUAGAGAAACAUGAAUGGUCCUCACUAGGGUACUUAAUAGAAUCUGAAAGAUUGAAAUUAACAACUUCCCCAUAA